UGCCCAUGGGGGAGCGAACCCACAAGCUUCGCGUUAUGAGCGCGACGCUCUAACCAACUGAACUAAUGGGUC